rnacentral:rRNA from 1 species
AUGGCGGAGGAACCAUCCGCCAAGCGUCAUCAUGGCGAGCCGUCGGACAAGAGCAACGACCUCGUCGACGUUCACGUCCCCGGUGAGAAGCGCGAGUACACGAGAACCCUCACAGGGGUUGAGCUCCACGGCAAAGAGACGCUGGAGAUCGUCUGCACCAGCGAACUAGACAAGGUCGACGAGGUGAUGAGUAGGCUCAGGAUGAAGGGCGGCGGCUUGUAUCCGAGCUUCAUCGGAGUUGAUGUGGAGUUCACCAGGGAUGAUGAACCUCCACAGAUGGCGGCAGUCCUGCAGUUGUGCGUCGAGGAACUCUGCUUGGUUUACCACAUUGCAGCAGCCACAAAAUGGCCCAAGCACCUCAAACAGUUCCUGCGAGAGGAGAAAUUGUACACAUUUGUCGGUUUCAACAUUGGAGGCGACAAGCGGAUGUUGAACAAGUCUGGUUUGGAGAUCAACCCCAACAACUUCAUCGACGUGCAGCGCAAGUGGAAAGAUCCACACACCAGCAAAUAUUUCGACUCCUUGGCUGAUGUAGCAGGCGGCGUCAUCCACCCAUUCUACAAAGGCAUGAAGAAGAAGAUCGAGAAGAAGGAAGACCACAAAAAGUGGGGGACCAGCCCGCUGCCAGACAACCUCAUCACGUACGCAGGAAUAGAUGCGUACGCCACGUACAAGUCAUGGAAGACAAUCGACAACAUCGUGACAGGUUGGGGUAUUUCAAAAGAGCAGGAAGCUGGCCCCUACUACCACUGCAACUUCGCGGGAUGA